rnacentral:lncRNA from 10 species
CAUCUUGUGAGCAUCUGGGCCAAGUUCAGGGCUGGUGCUCUCGUUCAGAUAGAUUUAGCUGGUGGUGCAGAGAUCCGUGAGCUUGCUUUUACAGGACUUUAAUGAUAUAUAAAAGCAGCACGAGGUGCUCCUGACUGUGGAUUAAUUUGGAGAUGACUUUCUCUGUUGAAGAGUAGCAAGACUCUCGCGAGUUCUUAAAAAUGCACUUGUUUGGUAUGAGAAUGAAAAGCAGUGGCUGAAGAACCAAUCUUCAAUGGGCAAGCCUUCUCUGUGUCUGUUCUAACACGUGCCAUUUGGGAUCCCUUGGAAUCUUCAUGUACAGAACUGGUUGCUGCCUCGUUGAGUCGGUGGGGACAGAAUAGCUCCUGGUUGACAGCAUGGGUUGUGCAGAAGGACGGAUCCUGCAGACAUCAAUAUCUGGCUUUGAGUGGCACAAAGAAAUAAAGGAAUGUGGAUUCAGACCUCACUGGGAUGCUUGGCAAUUCUAAUUCUACCCCAGACUGCAAAUGGACACACAACUGUUGUGACUUUUGUUGAAGAGGAGAAGGAUGGAAGCUGGAUUCAGAAGCACACAGGUCUGGGGAUGCAGGCUUCGGCCAGCCUGAUGCAAGGAAAGACUGCCAUCUCGUGGUCAGCUCAAUCCUGGCACCUUGGUGAGGGACCAGGCUGCAGAAAACCAGGCUUGGGGAGGAAACGGUGCUGCAAACUGGAUUUCUGCCGGACAGUGUGGAUGCCCUUAGAAAACACCCAGAAAAGAGCUGAGUGCCCCCCAAGACUUGCCCUGAAUUCUUUCAUGUGCAAUAUCCGAAAACCCUCUCUUGGGGCCUGGAUCAGGACCCCUUUCCUAUAACAUCUUUCUGGCGACAACAAAGGGACAAUGGUGUGGAAUCCCCCUUCCCAAAUGCUACUUUUAGAUAUCACCUUUUGUCGGAACUUGGAGUUGGUAAUGACCUUCACCAUACCACCACUCUGGGACUGAGCUUCUCUCUACCCUGAUGCAAGAGACCCUAAUAGGCAGGAAUAUGACCACCCCUAUUCAGCCUGAAGAAGUUACAGAAGUUCUGAAACCCUUAGAAAUGAGGGUCUUCUUGUAAAGGGAGUGGGGAGAUAUAUCAGAGGCAUUUGAACCAGAGCAACUCCAUCUUGAGUGAGGGCUAGGAAAAUGAGGCUAGGACUUGCUGGGCUGCAUUCUCAGAAAGUCAGUCAUUCCUAGCCUCUAGAUGUUUACGGUUAAGGGAACAAAUUUAUAACAUUUACUAAACACACCCAGACUUGGGAGUGUCCAGAUAUCCCAAUAUCUGGAGAACAAAGGCAUUCCUAAUUUUGCUUUAAAGACAAUAAUAUUGAUUCUUGCAAAAUAUAGUAAUUAAGAAAAUUAAUCCUUUAUCACAAACCCUUGUAGUAAAACACAUCUCCCCAUAUAUACAAGCAUUGUACCUAAGGUGGAUGCGUUCCAUCUCUUACUUUCAGGAAUGUCCUACACUAUCUAAGGAGUAGCUGUACUUUCACCACUUUACUUUCUUAAUAAACUUGUUU